CAGGAACUCUCCCACCUUAAUCUUACUUGAAGGGCAGAUCUUUCUUAUCCAGAAACCACAGAGCCUGAGAUCUCUGCUUCUGAAAUAAGUAUUUUUAUCAUCCAUCUCCUAGAAUUUGUCUUGUAGAAUAGUAUGUUCUUAGGAGUGUUUGCAUGGGUGAAAGGCUGAGGAGAUCACUUCCUUCCUUUACAAAGGGAAAAUGGCUUUGGUGAAAACUCAGGGACAAGGAAGCCCCACUUCAAGACUGGGUCAAAGCUUGUAUAUUUUUAUGUACAAUAUAUAUUGUAUAUUUUAGCAGGCUUAUGCCGCAGAGGAUGGGCUGGAAAUUAAACUUGGGAGUCAUAGAUGAAGUAUGUUUAAUCAUCCUUUCCUUCUUAGGGAAUUGAUCUGUUGGAGCUGAACUUGCUUUGCUUAGUGACAUCUGCUGUCCCUGACUCUUCAGCAUCACAGGGAGGGAAGCAUGGGUGAACAAUGAAAUGCAGCAUGGCAGAGCAUGGGAUGGUCUUGAAUGACACUGCAAGAGUGGUGUGCUUUAAUGGGCAUGGAGGCAGGAAAGGAAGGAGAAAGAAGCACACAUUUGUAUCCAGCUCCCAAUAGUUUCAGUCUCUUGGUUUCAUCAGCAAAGAGACAAGCCUAGCAUUGUAAGCAAAGAACCCAAAGUAGUUUAGGGCAAAAAUAAAGAAUGUUUCACAAAAUUUCAAAUAUUGCUGUGUUCUCCAGCUCUCCAUCUUUGCCCUUGCCUGUACUAUAUCCUGAGGCUCAAAAAUCCAAAAUGAUACAUAAAUAUAAAUGGGUGAAACUGACCAGCAGCCAUUCUACUGGUAGAAAUAGAUAGAUCUUUCCUUACAUACAAAGUGACAACUCUCAACAGCUUUAUGUUCAGAAAAGAACAACAAGGCUGGAUGUAUUUCUUAAGACUAUAAACAAAUAUUAUGUUUUAACUAGAAUAUUUUUUACACUUCAACAGAAGUGGACAUGUUCUUUGUGAUGCAUGUGAAUAAAUAUUGACAUUUAUAUGGCUAAAUAUGGCAUUAGACAUUGAUGAAAAACAUUUUCCAGUAGGAACACCAAAAUACAAAAAAGAUUUAGUUAAUUCAUAAAUUUGCAAAGACGUAGUUUCCUUUUAUAUGCUGGAACUCAAAUUCCACAGUAACUAUUUAUAUUAAAAUAAAAAUAUGUAAAACAGUAUGGUUUUCUAUACGCUAACUGUUGUAUUACUUAUUACAACCUGCGUUAUACACAAUACAAUGUCAGUGUAAAAACUGUCAGGUGUAUUAACAGACUAUCUGCAAUGAGAUUUGUCUUGUAAAAGCUAGUUUCCUUUAAAGAGAUGAGGCUGCAUGCUUUUCUUAUUUGUGCAUCGUUCUCUGCAUAGAACACUGCUUUAUCACUGCAAUUCAUUGCCUCUUCAUGGAGUUACUAGAAGAUUCAGCAUAUUUAUAGUAGCAUGAAUUACAUUGCUGAAAUAAAUCUUACAAUGCUUCCCUACUCAGAGGACUUCAUGAAGAGGAAUAUAACAAGACAAUUGCUUUCUCUGAAAUAAAUUCCAUGAGCAGUCUUUUUAAUUUUCAAUAGAAGCAAGAACAAUUUGUGAACCUAGAACCAGUUUGUGUCAUUUACCAGUAAAAGUCAUUUGAGUUCAUACCAAGUCAAGUCCAGAUACAAAGUUGUUUAUACAACUGAGUAGAUUUUGCAAACUGAAAAGAUUCAGUAAAGGAUAAAAUUUUAAUGAUUAAUUGCUCCCAAUAUUUUGGACACUUUCUCACUGACUGGUUUUGGGUGGUAUACCAUAUAAAACAAUGAAGGGUUGCUGUAUGAUUUUUUUAAUAUGUAAUUUUAAGACAAUGUAACCAUUUUUGAGGAAAAUGAUUUUAUGCGAUUGUCUAUUAUAAAAUUUCCAUCUUUUUCAUCUUAUCAAAAUGUCAUACAAAAGAAAAUUAAUUCAAGAUGUUUUUAGAAAUCGGAGGUAUAGAUAUUUUCAAUAAAUAGAAUUAUGGAAAAUGAAAAUAUUUAAUUUCUGAAAUGUUUAUCAAGUGUUCACAUAUAUUACACAUAUAUACUUUACAAUGGACAUAAUGAAAACUUCCAAGGUCAGUUAAGCAGAAACAUAUAAAAAGUCAGAAUGAUAUUUAGUCAUUUACUUGGAGAGGGGAAGGUUAUUACAUUCAAAUUUGCUUUCCUGUAGAGAACAUCUAUUCAGAAUUUUCAUCUCAUUACUUGAUGGUGACUACAGUUGUACAGAAUAAUAGAAUAGAAUAAAUCCUCAAGAAUCUUUUCUCCAUCAAAAUAAUAAAGCUUAUCUCUAAAAAGUGGACAUUCUGUAGAACAUAUACUACUACUACUACUAAGUCACUUCAGUCGUGUCCGACUCUGUGCGACCCCAUAGACGGCAGCCCACCAGGCUCCCCGGUCCCUGGGAUUCUCCAGGC